rnacentral:rRNA from 1 species
UACGAGGGGGGCGAGCGUUGUUCGGAAUUAUUGGGCGUUAAAGGGGUGCGAUAGGCGGUUCGGGUAAGUUUCGUGUGAAAUCGUUCGGGCUCAAACUCGAAGCCUGCACGAGAUACUGCCGGGCUUGAGUGUGGGAGAGGUGAGUGGAAUUUCCGGUGUAGCGGUGAAAUGCGUAGAUAUCGGAAGGAACACCUGUGGCGAAAGCGGAGC